CUGGAGGAGACMAGUGCUGAUCCCGGCUGUAAAGAUUGCAUUUCUCUGUUUGCAUUUGCAUUUUCAGCUGCAGGACAAAUGCAAGGGUCCUGGGAYAGGCAAAGCAGGACUUCCAGAUCAACUCCAGGUUGCACCUGCUCUCAAGGGUAUUACCCAUGGAUAAACACAGAGAAGGCACAAAGCCAGCACCACAAGUGCCUUUUCCAUAGGACAUUCCAGCAGAGCUCUAUUGCAUCCCUGGUUCUGCUCUUUCCACACUGUAACACCCAGCCCUAGGCAAGAUUAAAGCUGUGAACCAAAAGCUGGCCAGCACAGAGCCCAAAACACACCAGGGCAUCCACGAUGCAAUCUCAGAAGAGCCUGUGCCAGCUUGCAAAUUGUCUGUGGAGUGGGACCUGGCAGAAGGAAGCACAACCUGCCUUCCUGGACACAACGCAUGUUUGGGAUUUCACUCUGCACUUGCCUUCACUGCCUGCARUGCUUUGU